GCUCGAGUGGUGGAAUUGGUAGACACGUUGGAUUCAAAAUCCAAUGUCUUCGGACGUGCGGGUUCAAGUCCCGCCUCGAGUA
rnacentral:tRNA from 1 species